GUCGUGAGGCUACCUAAAGGACUUCGGACGAUAAUUCAGCAUUACAUGCGUUAUGUGCUGCUAUGCACGCAUGAUCGUUUAUGGUUGAUUGAUGUGAAUGACAUGCAAACUACGU